rnacentral:rRNA from 1 species
UACGUAGGCAGCAAGCGUUGUUCGGAGUUACUGGGCGUAAAGAGUGCGUAGGUGGUGCCCUAAGUCUGUUGUGAAAUCUCCCGGCUUAACUGGGAGGGUGCGGUGGAAACUGGGGUGCUCGAGUGUGGGAGAGGUAAGCGGAAUUCCUGGUGUAGCGGUGAAAUGCGUAGAUAUCAGGAGGAACACCGGUGGUGUAGACGGCUUACUGGACCACGACUGACACUGAGGCACGAAAGCGUGGGUAGCAAACAGG